rnacentral:rRNA from 1 species
GACAGAGGUGCCGAGCGUUAGGCGGAAUCACUGGGCUUAAAGCGUGUGUAGGCGGGUCGUUAAGUGCCUUGUGAAAUCCCACAGCUCACCUGUGGAACUGCUUGGCAUACUGGCGAUCUUGAGCCACUUAGGGGCAACCGGAACAAACGGUGGAGCGGUGAAAUGCGUAGAUAUCGUUUGGAACGCCAAUGGUGAAAACAGGUAGCUGGGGGUGUGCUGACGCUGAGACACGAAAGCCAGGGGAGCAAACGGG